rnacentral:rRNA from 1 species
CACACCGCCCGUCACACCAUGGGAGUCAGUUGCUCCAGAAACGGCUGCGCUAACCCGCAAGGGAGGCAGGUCUUUAAGGAGUGACUGGUAACUGGGUG